AGUUGCGAGGCAAACGGGUUAGUAACACAUAGGAAUCUGCCCCAAAGUCGUGAAUAACCUGGAGAAAUCCAGAAUAAUACACGAUGUGCUCUACGGAGUAAAGCUUUAGUGCUUUGGGAGGAGCCUGUGUCCUAUCAGCUUGUUGGUGAGGUAAUAGCUCACCAAGGCUAUGACGGGUAGGGGGUGUGAGAGCAUGACCCCCAACAUUGGAACUGAGACACUGUCCAA
rnacentral:rRNA from 1 species